rnacentral:tRNA from 1 species
UAGCUCGGUUGGUUAGAGCGUGGUGCUGAUAACACCAAGGUCGUGGGUUCGAUCCCCGU